CUCUCCCGCUGGGACCGCACCUUUCUCCUGCCGCUGCGGACUGCGCCUCGAUUGUCUCCACGUGUUUCGGCGUCGCACAUGGUUGCGCCCGCUUAGGAGCACGUUGACGCGCCUUUCGCUGCUUUCGGCUCUUCCCGCACGCGAGAAGAGGCCUCGGCGCACAUUAUGGAUUUUCGGCCACCCGGCGAGCUGCCGCCACGCGCCCGCCAUCGUCGCCAUGCCAGCUUGAGCCGGUUGACACUCGGCCCCGCGACCCUCGAUAAGCUCUGGGCAAGGGAGGACCUCGAGCGUCGCGCCACUCGCAUGCUGGGCGAGUGACUGCGGGUACGAGCGCCCAUGCUGGGGACCCCUGCAGCUCCCACCGUGCCUACGACCGCACCGGCAGCCCCAGCAGCAACUACGGCGCCAUCCGAGAACGGCACCUGCGUGCAGGAAACCCACGUGGAGGUGCCGCUUCCCCUCUCGGACGAUGAAGAAAUGGACCAGUUCAUUUCUCGGAAACGCGCCCGCGAGAACGAGAGCGAGGAUGACGAGCCUGCCGCGCCACGUAAGCAGCCGCUGAGCGUGCCUCCCCUGCUCGGGAGAGCCGACGACGCAAGAAGACCACGGCAGUGCCAUCUCCCGACACCCGGGGGAAACAGCUACCAACCCCUCCUCCCCGAACGCGCAAGUUGGAGCGCCACCCGAGCCAGCAUCAAGCGAGCAGACCGCCCCACCUGCGGUAGGGUGCCUCGAUGCGCGCGCCCCCCUCCGCCGCUCCGUGGAGGGUGGGGACAUCCUUUGAAAGGGUCAGUGCCGCCUCGGCGAGGACGCGCGCCAUAUUUGUGCCCCCUCCUCGUCCCGCCUGCGUCAGUUGUACGUGCGGCGGCCUGUUUCCCGUCGGUUGCAAUUUUUCUUGGCCGCAAGACGAGAAAGACAUGCCGGGGUGUUGCGUGCCUGCGUGCACAAAUCACUCCCGAAAUGGCUGGAGAAUGUUUUCAUUUCCGAGAGAUCCGAAAAGAAGGCUCCUGUGGACUGUAAAAGUGAAACGGGACAAGUGGCAGCCGGCCAACACUUCAUGCCUAUGCAGUAAAGCUCAGGCGCACCGCAACCGGCUCGAAAGCCAUCACCUGGCCGUUGUACCGGUGUCUGCACGGCUUCCUCAGAGCACUACCGAUCAACGACGACUUGCUCAUGGAGGAAAACAUUGAGGUGCAGCAAGUGAAUGAACUGCCAAAUUCUGCAGCGGUCAUUGCAUCAUGGGACGAUGGCGAUAUUUCUACUGAGGAGAGCAGUGUUUGUCAACUAAGCAUUACUCCGGAGCCUCCCACUGACAGCCAAACUCCACAGCCUUCUACAGACAGUCCACAGCCUGAGGUAGUGAAUGACCUGGGCGCCAGAGCAGGCAGCCGUUCUGCGAACUGCUAGGCUAAAGGAAGGAAGAGAACAGCUUCUUAUGAAGCUGUUCGACUUUGAUGCAUGCCCCCCCUUAUGUAAUGCCUUCGGGCCCUUAAGGUUGAAUAAAUGAAAAAAAAAGAGGCCUGCGUCGACAA